rnacentral:rRNA from 1 species
UACAGAGGGUGCGAGCGUUAAUCGGACUUACUAGGCGUAAAGCGCACGUAGGUGGCGACGUAAGUCGGGUGUGAAAGCCCCGUGCUCAACCUGGGAAUUGCAUUCGAGACUGCAUUGCUGGAGUACGGAAGAGGAGGGCGGAAUUCCCGGUGUAGCGGUGAAAUGCGUAGAUAUCGGGAGGAACAUCAGUGGCGAAGGCGGCCCACUGUUCCAGUACUGACACUCAGGUGCGAAAGCGUGGGGAGCAAACAGG